AUCUGGGAUGAGGAGAGAAGAGGUCAGAGUAUCUGGGUGCUCCUCCACCCCUAGUCUCUGCCCCCGGGACCCUCAGUAAUAACUGCCAAUAUCCAUGCAGCAGUGGCCACCUUGUGACAGGCCACCUGUCAGGUUCUUGUUAUGCAGUAGCCCAGGCUGGCCCCCCAAAGCUGGGACUACAGAUGUGAACAACCACACCCAGCCAGAGUCUACAUCUUAACCUCUAAGUGAAUAAAUAGCCUUUCCUCACCUA